AAGUCCCAUGUUUUUCACUUCACAUGUCUCAUAUUUAUAUAACAUAUAUCUGAUAUUUAUCUUGUUCAUCGAGGGGAGGAAACAGUCCUUCAUCGUUGUUUCUUCUCCUCUGUAGCCUCUUAAAUGAAAAGCUGGGGGGAAGUAAUCAGGAGGACUUGGAUGGAAUUGUCUGUCAUCCAUUCAACGCUCUGGACACAGGCGCUGAUUAUAAAAUGAAAAGGACACAACGUGUGAAAUGAAACAAAAAAAAGACUUAAAGCAGCCAAACUGGGACAUGACGAAGAGCUUGGAGGGUUUGUAGGUGUUGGCCAGCAUACGUGUCGGUGUGCAGCAGGGAUCAAUAGUUUCGGACCUGCUGAUGCUGGAUGAAGCUGCCUGGAACAUUUGAAAUUCAAAGCUGGCCGUCGCUUCCAGACACAAAUACGCCACAGCAAGAGUAAGCCGCCCGGAAGCUGUCUGAUGAAAUUAUGAAAAGAAUAUUCAUAGGAGAAAAUGUGUCUACGAUUGUCACCCUGACUAACAAAGAAUAAACGAAACCAAAAACAUGUGAAUAAAAUAUCAGUUGAAGACGCAAACGGACAGAAAGAACAAGAAGCGAGAUGGUAAGGCGACGGCCGUUGUGGGGGAGCUAAUUACUUCUGUGGCUGAUGAUUUCCCAUCAUGGCCGCCUGAGGCCCACCGAGGACAGAAUUGACAACGAUGCGUCAUGUGGCACAUGGCUGAGCUGGUCGCCCUGAGAGCGAGCAGGGAGAGGACCUCUCCAAUGGAAGCCUGUCCCUCAAUUGCAUUGCCAGUGAAGCCGGGACACGGACACGCGUGUGAAUAUCCACCUAUCACACCACAAAAAUGUCUCUUUAAUCUUUAAUUCGCAGCAGGUUUGAAACCACCUGCACAAUGAGCAGCACGUGUCCCGUCCUUUAUGACGAGAGAGAAACCAUCGGGAGACACAUCCUGUCAUUUAAGA
ensembl:lncRNA